rnacentral:lncRNA from 1 species
CUCCCGCCUCAGUCUCCCAGGUAGCUGGGAUUACAGGCACCUGCCAUCAUGCCUGGCUAAUUUUUGUAUUUUUGUAGAGAUGGGUCUUGCAACUUCUGACCUCAGGUGAUCCGCCCACCUUGGCCUCCCAAAGUGCUGGGAUGACAGGCAUGAGCCACCGCGCUCUGCCAGAGGCCCUGCUAUUACGUGUAGUACCUGAUUACCCCCAAGGGAAGCAGCGUUGCAUAGGAAGC